rnacentral:rRNA from 1 species
GUGGGGAAUAUUGGACAAUGGGCGAAAGCCUGAUCCAGCCAUGCCGCGUGUGUGAAGAAGGUCUUCGGAUUGUAAAGCACUUUAAGUUGGGAGGAAGGGCAGUAAGUUAAUACCUUGCUGUUUUGACGUUACCGACAGAAUAAGCACCGGCUAACUUCGUGCCAGCAGCCGCGGUAAUACGAAGGGUGCAAGCGUUAAUCGGAAUUACUGGGCGUAAAGCGCGCGUAGGUGGUUUUGUAAGUUGGAGGUGAAAUCUCCGGGCUCAACCUGGGAACUGCCUCAAAAACUGCAUGACUAGAGUACGGUAGAGGGUGUGGAAUUUCCUGUGUAGCGGUGAAAUGCGUAGAUAUAGGAAGGAACACAAGUGGCGAAGGCGACUACCUGGACUGAUACUGACACUGAGGUGCGAAAGCGUGGGGAGCAAACAGGAUUAGAUACCCCUGUAGUCC